UUCAAAAACCAAUAAGUUAAUUGUUUCAAAAAGCUUAGCCAAACAUGCCCUAAAUUCCUCCAUUAUCAUCCCAAACAAUGAUCAGUCACUCUCACAAUCCUCUUCUUUCCUCCAAUUAACCCCCAAAACACUUCAAUUUCACCUGUAAUUUCAUCUACAACAACAAUUGAAAGUUAAUCGCGAUGGAUCUGUGUGCUGUAUAGAUCAAAGGUGCAGCUCGAUGCCCCUACGUAUCGAAGAAUACUCACGUUUACGAUAAACCUAAUUCUCUGUGGAGAUCGAAGAAGGUGUUCGACAUCAGUGUGACGAAAUCAACGGUUUCUUCUCGUCAAUCGCUUGUUGUGCGAGCUACGGGGAAGAAGAAUUCUCAGAACAAUUCUGCUUCUUCGUCUUCUACAGGUUAAAUCUAACUACUAUAAUAAAAGAAACCAACUUUUGGACACAUGUCAUUCAUUGAAGUUCCAGGACUGAAGCUGUGCAAAUGAUAAAGUUCAGUAGUAUAAAUACAAGAACCUGAAGUGUUUCCAUUACAAGAGCACACCACUGCAAGUCACUUACAAUCGUUGAAGAUGUCAGCAAAAACUGAACACAGUUGUGACGUAUUACUACAAUCCAUGCUUAAGGGAAAUGCUAUUGAAAACGGCUCUAUGAAUCUCCAAGUUGAAGGCCUUGAGAUUCCAAAGGGGUUUGGUUUACACCUCCUUUGCUCAGAGGACAUAGUUGUAGGCUGGAACUUCCAGAAAACUGGAGCAAUGACUUCUCCGGUUUCUUAAUGUGCCUUGUUAUUUCAGAUAUCUUCUACAUACAUCAAAAUGAGAUAUGGAUAAGUAUGAAGCAGGCGAGUGGUAUGGAUUCUGGAAAUGAUGUGGUUUGGGAGGAGAGUGAUGGUGAUAGUAAAAUGCAUACAUUUGUGUGUUAUGUUUCAUUUGAUUCAUUGAGACGCACUUCUUGGUGGAACCAAACAUACAAUGCGAUUUCUUUUAACAUUGCAAGUACUUUGACGUAUAGUAAUCUCGAGUUGCAACGUGGUUUUGGAGUUAGACUCAUGGACAAGAAAUGUAUAAGUGGUCUAACGGAAACAUCAACAAAUUCUUCUUAUCAUAUCCCUAACUUCAAAAUUCUCCAAGACUCGGCAUCUCAACUUAAGGUAUCCGUAACUCCACAUAGUGCGCCUGUAUGAAUAGAAAUGGAAGUAAACUUGAGUACAACGUUGGAGAGUAUGGUAUCUAAUAGGUAUGUUUAAUUCGAUGAUCGAAUGUAGGAAGUAAGAAUAGUGGAGAGUAUUAAAGCUUGUUCAAGUGAUGUUUCAAUUGGCAUGUAUUAAUAAACAUGUUUAUUGCAAUCUAAAUUUUUAAUUUCAAGUGAUGAUUACUAA